rnacentral:rRNA from 1 species
CAGUAGCCACGGUAAUACGAAGGGUGCAAGCGUUACUCGGAAUUACUGGGCGUAAAGCGUGCGUAGGUGGUGGUUUAAGUCCGUUGUGAAAGCCCUGGGCUCAACCUGGGAAUUGCAGUGGAUACUGGGUCACUAGAGUGUGGUAGAGGAUAGUGGAAUUUCCGGUGUAGCAGUGAAAUGCGUAGAGAUCGGAAGGAACAUCUGUGGCGAAGGCGACUAUCUGGGCCAACACUGACACUGAGGCACGAAAGCGUGGGGAGCAAACAGGAUUAGAUACCCCGGUAGUCCCUGUCUCUUAUAU